rnacentral:rRNA from 1 species
AUUGAACGCUGGCGGCAUGCCUUACACAUGCAAGUCGAACGGUAGAGGGGCAACCCUCGAGAGUGGCGAACGGGUGAGUAAUGCAUCGGAACGUGCCCAGUCGUGGGGGAUAACGUAGCGAAAGCUACGCUAAUACCGCAUACGACCUGAGGGUGAAAGCGGGGGACCUGCAAGGGCCUCGCGCGAUUGGAGCGGCCGAUGUCAGAUUAGGUAGUUGGUGGGGUAAAGGCCUACCAAGCCGACGAUCUGUAGCUGGUCUGAGAGGACGACCAGCCACACUGGGACUGAGACACGGCCCAGACUCCUACGGGAGGCAGCAGUGGGGAAUUUUGGACAAUGGGCGCAAGCCUGAUCCAGCCAUGCCGCGUGCGGGAAGAAGGCCUUCGGGUUGUAAACCGCUUUUGUCAGGGAAGAAAUCUUCUGGGUUAAUACCUCGGGAGGAUGACGGUACCUGAAGAAUAAGCACCGGCUAACUACGUGCCAGCCGCCGCCGUAAUAC